UGAUUUCGUCCUGCCCUUUGUACACACCGCCCGUCGCUCCUGCCAAUGGGUGGGGUGGUAAGAAGGUGGAAUGGACCAUGUAUAUAGAGUCUCUGAUCUCCUUCGAGCUAUCCUAUCUAGAGGAAGGAGAAGUCGUAACAAGGUUUCCGUAGGUGAACCUGCGGAAGGAUCACCGAAACACAUCGAUCACUGUCUCCACACUCUGUUGUGGUAGUCUCUGCCUUUUCUUCAUAUCCAUAAUUUUACGCAUGGUGGACGGAAUCCAUCAAUUUUGUAUAACAAAGCCUUACUGACGGAUGUCUAGGCUCUUGCAUCGAUGAAGAACGCAGCAGCAAGCGAUAUACGAUGAUCGAAGCGCUCUCGUGAAUCAUCGAAUCUUCGAACGCAUCUUGUGCUCAUGUAAUAACCCGCAAAGGGUUGAGCAUGCUUGGUGCAGUGACGACACAUGCGUAUGGCUGUUUGGUGCUUUUGUUUGCCGAACAGUACUCCGUCUUCGCAUAUACCAUCAUUACUAUAUGUUCAGACACGACACCUACUUUACCAACCCCAGCUUCUUUGUGUGGUUGCCAUCGAAUGCACUUUCGAUUUUGCAUACGUCCUGCUCUACAGUAAGAACACCCGCCGAACUUAAGCAUAUC
rnacentral:rRNA from 1 species